rnacentral:lncRNA from 1 species
CUGAAAGUGACCAUAUUUGGAAAUAGGGUCUUGUCGCUAUAAGCAGUUAAGACGAGGUCAUAGUGGACUAGGCUGGGCCCUAAAUCCAAUGACUGCUGUCCUUAGAAGAGGAGAAGAAGAUACCAGGGAAGAAGGCCGCAAUGAUGGAGAUGGGUGGGACUGGAGUGAUGCAUCUACAAGCCAAGGACCUCUGGCCACCAUCAGAAGCUGGGAAGGAGGCACAGGACAGGUUCUCCCUCAGAGUCUCCAGAAGGAACCAACCUGCUCACGCCUUGAUUUCAGACUCUGGCCUCCAGAAUGGGAGGCAGAGUCUGGCUACGUGGCCACCAAUGCAGUUGCCUUCUGCUCCAGGGCACACACUAAACUACGUUUCCCAGGCCGCUUGCCCUUGGUUUGGAGCCUAGUGACUGAGUUCCGGACAACGGACUGAAGACAGAAGUGGUGUCGCCACUUCCAGACCUGCCUGCCUGGCCUAAAACACCACCUAUGUGCCAUCUCAGUUCUCUCUUCUCCACCCUCAGUGGCUUUGGCAGGUCUGUUGAAGAUGGUGGCACUGCCAGAUACGUAUUUACUUUUAUAGUUCUGUUUAUAAUAGGUAAAAAGAAAUAAAAGUAAGGCCUGGUAAAGAAAAAUUAGCAAAUCAUAGGAAAGCAUGUAUGGGAAAAAUCAUAGAGGUGUUGCAUGCACAAGAAACACUGCAUUACAACCUUCCACAUUCCUAUUUCAAAUGCAGCAUAGUCAUUGGGAGUGAGUAUAAGAGUGAAGAGACGAAGGAGCAGGUGAAUCUGGGGAGACAUCAUGGGAGAGAGACCCUGGAGCAUCCUGUGGAGGCUGUAAAGGUGCGUCGGGGGGAUGGGAUGAGCAGUUCAGGCUGGUCCCAUUGACCCAGGAAUUAAUAACCAAGCAGUUAAUGUGUACAUAACUCUUUCAUUCCAGGUCUGGUCCCCAAAAUCUGAAUAAACUCUCGUUGUGGGCAGAAUGCAUACCUCUCCACGUCUGUGUCCCCAUGGCUUCAGGCCUGGGGCCACACACUCAAGAGGCCUUCAGGAAUGCCAGGCACAGGAACUCUGCGAAGGAGCAGGUAAGGUCUGGGGUUUCAGUGCACCCUGAGCGCUGAUGGGGACACUCUCCUGGGGGCCCCAAUGGAGCCACCUGCUGGAGUGCUUCUUCAGGUAGGUCUGGCUACCUGACCUGGGAGGUAGAGUUUUAGUAGCCUGGGGACACCCCUUUCUCUGUAGCCCAUGACUCCUGCUUCUCUGGGUGUGUGUGGGAGGGAUGGGACUACGGAGUUCACAGAGCGGGUCAAAACAAAAGAGGCUGGCAGGGCAGCAGUGCCAGGGGAACCACCCAUCUCUGCCUUCUGCGCCUGAGGCCUCCUGGGCAGCUGCAAGGUGAGGAAAUUUGAGAAGAGGCAGAUUGGGUUUGCUCCCCUGGUUCUCCCGGCAGCACUAGAUAAAAAGAGGCAGGACGGCUUUCCCACACAGCUGUUUCGUCAUUCUCUAGGUACCAGACUUGGCUCCCUGGAUCCCUGAGAUGCCCAGAGGAGUGCACAGUCUAGUGCUGGAAGCAGCAGUUUUCCCAGGUGGCCAAGAUGAGGGGUCUCUCCCUUCUGGACUUUUCCUGAAGCAGAGCACCAAGCAGUCUUGAGAGGCCUGUCUGCUGUCACAGCAUAGGUCACCAUCGAGGGAUUCUGAUGAGUGUGCACGAGGGGCAGGGCCUUUGAGAAUCAGGCAGGGGACCCUGUCCCCACUCUACUCAAACUGAAUGGGGAAGGAAGGAGGCCUGGGAGCCACUGUCACUCUCACUCUGCUCCAGCUUCCCUGAGAUGGAAGCCAGGACUCAGGAGGAUGACUGAGUGUGGAAAAGAGGGAGGCUGAGAGCCCAGGAGGGCAUUCCCAACCUCAGAAAAGAUCCCUGGGUCCCACAGGGACCUCAAAACUGAAAGAUACUAUACCUGGAAACACCACAGACCUGAACAAUGAGGAGAACAGUGGCGAGUCUGAUAAACUGGAGAGGAGAGACCCUUCGCUGAUCCUCAGGGCUCCGUAUCAGCAUUCCGGGGUGCCAGGACACCCUGGCAGGGGAGGGGCCCGACUGUGCCCGUGAAGGAUCCUGUAGGAAGGAGUAGGUCUUGGAGUCAGAAUUAAGUUGAUUUAAAGAGAAUCAAUUUAGCAGACUGAGAUUCACACACAUUAUAUAUGCUUGAUUGUGUAACUUCCUCUUUCCUUCCUCAGCAGUUUUAAAGGUGGAUUAUCAUUUGUAUAAGCUAGAAUUUCCUAAUUAAUAAACUUUACUUUUUAGAGCAGUUUUAGAUUCAUAGCAAAAUUGAGCAGAAAGUACAGAGAGUCCGCAUAUACCGCCCGUCCCCAAGCAUGUACAGCCUUCCCUACUCUCCGCAUCUCGCAGAAGAGUGGUGCAAGUCUGAAAGACAAGCGUGAAGGCAAAUCCUGCCGAAAGGCAGAGCUUUAAGCAGUACAUUUGUUGUUCACUUCAUGCAGAAGGAGAGAUGGCCGAGGGUAAGAAACUAUACCGAUAUACAGUCAAUGGUUAAUGGAUUGAGAGAUGGUCAUCAACUUGGAGAGAAGAGGUUUAGAAGACUGGUGACAAGGAGGUCUGGUUCUCUGCCCCUCCGUCUUUGCCUUCACCUGCUUCCCCUUUAUAUCUCUGGUCUUCCUGCUGUCCCCUACACUGUCUUCUUUUUCGGGCUCCUCAUCAUUGCAGCUUCUAGUCUUCACAAAACAAAUCAAC